rnacentral:rRNA from 1 species
UACAGAGGUCUCUAGCGUUAAGCGGAAUCACUGGGCUUAAAGCGUGCGUAGGCGGAUUUGUAAGUGCCUUGUGAAAUCCCACAGCUCAACUGUGGAAUUGCUUGGUAGACUGCAAGUCUUGAGGUCGGUAGAGGUCGUCGGAACUCUAGGUGGAGCGGUGAAAUGCGUAGAUAUCUAGAGGAACGCCAAAGGUGAAGACAGGCGACUGGGCCGAUUCUGACGCUGAGGCACGAAAGCGUGGGGAGCAAACGGG